UACAGAGGGUGCAAGCGUUAAUCGGAAUUACUGGGCGUAAAGCGUGCGUAGUCGGUUAUCUAAGUCGGGUGUGAAAUCCCCGGGCUCAACCUGGGGAAUUGCAUUCGAUACUGGAUAGCUAGAGUUCGGCAGAGGGAAGCGGAAUUUCCGGUGUAGCGGUGAAAUGCGUAGAUAUCGGAAGGAACAUCAGUGGCGAAAGCGGCUUCC
rnacentral:rRNA from 1 species